AGGGGAUCGCAAGACCUUGCGCUGAUGGAUGAGCCGAAGUCGGAUUAGCUAGUUGGUAGGGUAACGGCCUACCAAGGCGACGAUCCGUAGCUGGUCUGAGAGGACGACCAGCCACACUGGGACUGAGACACGGCCCAGACUCCUACGGGAGGCAGCAGUGGGGAAUAUUGGACAAUGGGGGCAACCCUGAUCCAGCGACGCCGCGUGUGUGAAGAAGGCCUGCGGGUUGUAAAGCACUUUUAGUGGGGACGAAAAGUUCAGGGCUAAUACCCNUGGAUCUUGACCUAACCCAAAGAAAAAGCACCGGCUAACUCUGUGCCAGCAGCCGCGGUAAUACAGAGGGUGCAAGCGUUAAUCGGAAUUACUGGGCGUAAAGCGUGCGUAGACGGUUAUGUAAGUCAGAUGUGAAAUCCCCGGGCUCAACCUGGGAAUUGCGUUUGAAACUACA
rnacentral:rRNA from 1 species